GGAAGCUUCCCUUCUACCAACAGGAUUUCAUGGUUGCCAGAAAGUCUCCCUCUGAUGCCGAGCCAAAGCUGGACUGUACUGCCGCCAUCUCUGCUCACUGCAACCUCCCUGCCUGAUUCUCCUGCCUCAGCCUGCUGAGUGCCUGCGAUUGCAGGCGCGCGCUGCCACGCCUGACUGGUUUUCAUAUUUUUUUGGUGGAGACAGG
rnacentral:lncRNA from 1 species